rnacentral:rRNA from 1 species
CCUACGGGAGGCAGCAGUAGGGAAUCUUCCACAAUGGGCGAAAGCCUGAUGGAGCAACGCCGCGUGGGUGAAGAAGGUCUUCGGAUCGUAAAACUCUGUUGUUAGAGAAGAAAGUGCGUGAGAGUAAUUGUUAACGUAUCGACGGUAUCUAACCAGAACGCCACGGCUAAAUACGUGCCAGCAGCCGCGGGAAUACGUAGGUGGCAAGCGGUAUCCGGAUUUAUUGGGCGUAAAGGGAACGAAGUCGGUCUUUUAAGUCAGAUGUGAAAGCCUUCGGCUUAACCGGAGUAGUGCAUUGGAAACUGGGAGACUUGAGUGCAGAAGAGGAGAGUGGAACUCCAGGUGUAGCGGUGAAAUGCGUAGAUAUAAGGAAGAACACCAGUUGCGAAAGCGGCUCUCUGGUCUGUAACUGACGCUGAGGUUCGAAAGCGUGGGUAGCAAACAGGAUUAGAUACCCGGGUAGUC